ACCUCAGGUGAUCCGCUCGCCUCAACCUCCCAAAGUGCUGGGAUUAUAGGCGUGAGCCACGGCGCCCAGCCAGGUUGUACUUUUCAAGAGGGUUGUAACAAGAUAUUCCAUACCACAUGCUCUUCUUAAAUGUGACACUCCUCCCAUUAAGAGGUAGAGUCUAUAUUCCCUCCUCUUGAACUUGGGUGGGCCUGUAAGUAAGGUGGAAGUGAGGCAAGUUCAAAAAAGGUUAUACGGCAGAAGCGAGAUGAGGAAGGGAACGUCAUCGUUUGGAAAGCGUCGCAAUAAGACGCACACAUUGUGCCGCCGCUGUGGCUCUAAGGCCUACCACCUUCAGAAGUCGACCUGUGGCAAAUGUGGCUACCCUGCCAAGUGCAAGAGAAAGUAUAACUGGAGUGCCAAGGCUAAAAGACGAAAUACCACCGGAACGGGUCGAAUGAGGCACCUAAAAAUUGUAUACCGCAGAUUCAGGCAUGGAUUCCGUGAAGGAACAACACCUAAACCCAAGAGGGCAGCUGUUGCAGCAUCCAGUUCAUCUUAAGAAUGUCAGCGAUUAGUCAUGCAAUAAAUGUUCUGGUUUUGAAAAAUAAAAAAAAAAAAAAAAAAA